rnacentral:rRNA from 1 species
GACGAACGCUGGCGGCGUGCUUAACACAUGCAAGUCGAACGGAAAGGCCCUGCUUUUGUGGGUUGCUCGAGUGGCGAACGGGUGAGUAACACGUGAGUAACCUGCCCUUGACUUUGGGAUAACUUCAGGAAACUGGGGCUAAUACCGGAUAGGAGCUCCUGCUGCAUGGUGGGGGUUGGAAAGUUUCGGCGGUUGGGGAUGGACUCGCGGCUUAUCAGCUUGUUGGUUGGGUAGUGGCUUACCAAGGCUUUGACGGGUAGCCGGCCUGGGAGGGUGACCGGCCACAUUGGGACUGGGGUACGGCCCAGACGCCUACGGGAGGCAGCAGGGGGGAAUAUUGCACAAUGGGCGGAAGCCUGAUGCAGCAACGCCGCGUGCGGGAUGACGGCCUUCGGGUUGUAAACCGCUUUCGCCUGUGACGAAGCGUGAGUGACGGUAAUGGGUAAAGAAGCACCGGCUAACUACGUG